rnacentral:rRNA from 1 species
UACGUAGGGGCCGAGCGUUGUCCGGAAUCAUUGGGCGUAAAGCGCGCGUAGGCGGCCCGGUAAGUCCGCUGUGAAAGUCCAGGGCUCAACCCUGGAAAGCCGGUGGAUACUGCCGGGCUAGAGUCCGGAAGAGGCGAGUGGAAUUCCUGGUGUAGCGGUGGAAUGCGCAGAUAUCAGGAGGAACACCAAUAGCGAAGGCAGCUCGCUGGGACGGUACUGACGCUGAGGUGCGAAAGCGUGGGGAGCAAACAGG